AUGCCUGGCAGCGACUUCUCGCUUCUCUCUCCUCCUCCCCCACCGACCCUCUGCUGCCGACCUUUACGCCAAACUCGGGCGCACCGUGAGACUCGCGUCCGCGCUCUCCCCUCAGGGCCCCACCCCUUCCCGGUUCUACCCCGCGAUCGGGCCGGAGGCAAGGUGAAUGGGAAGAUGGAGAUGGAUGUUGAGGGAGUUUCUCCGCGCCCGGAGCCCAUCCCCCGCUCCCAGGGGGCUGGCGGAGCCUGCCAGGCGCCGCCACAGCCGCCCCAGCCCCAGCCGCAGCCGCAGCAGCAGCAGCUGGCUCAGGAUGAACUGCCCGGCGAGAGUGCAGGCGCUGAGGACAGCGACGAUCCCGAGACGAGACCCAACGGCGAGAAAGGAGAGAGCAAGAGAUACCAUGGACUGGGAAGUGAUGGAAACCACAGUGAGCUCAUUGCAAGAUCCCAAAGGUUCCAAGCCACCGGCUGUUCCCAGUCAAAUGCCACCCUUCUGGAGAGACGGCGGGAAGUGAGCUGGUAGGAG
rnacentral:lncRNA from 1 species